GUCUACGGCCAUACCACCCUAAACGCACCUGAUCUUGUCUGGUCUCAGAAGCUAGGCAGGAUUGGGCCUGGUUAGUACUUGGAUGGGAGAAAAAUAUCUCUGGUCAUGUUCUGGCGACAUAAUCA
ensembl:rRNA 5S_rRNA 5S ribosomal RNA